UACGAACCGUCCAAACGUUACUCGGAAUCACUGGGCUUAAAGGGUGCGUAGGCCGCGCGGAGGGUGGGAUGUGAAAUCCCCCGGCUCAACCGGGGAAUAGCGUCCCAAACCGCCGUGCUCGAGGGAGACAGAGGUGAGCGGAACUGAUGGUGGAGCGGUGAAAUGCGUAGAUAUCUGGAGGAACACCGGUGGCGAAGGCGGCAUUCUGGACCGACAUUGACGCUGAGGCGCGAAAGCCAGGGGAGCAAACGGG
rnacentral:rRNA from 1 species